UAUAGUCGCAGUUAGUUAGGGGCAUAUUCCAUGGCCAUGUCGCAGCGGAUGAGAAGGUUCUGCUUCCAGCUGCGUCUCAAGUCGACGCAAUUGUUCAUUUUGGCCGGUUCGGUGGUGUUGUCGCUGCUCGUGUCGCUGCUCUGCAUUGGCUUCACCAUACGCUACGAGGUGGAGCACGAGGUGGCCAAUGUGGGCGACGUGGACUACUGGAAGGAUGCGGUAUCUGCCGAACAGAAGCCCUGGUACGACAAGGGCAUUGAGGAGCUGAAGCGGGCGCUGCGUGGGCACUCCAAGCUCAGCCAGCCACGAAAUGUGUGGCUGCUAAUGAUCCAAGGCAUUGAUGCGCCCGCCCUGGCGGCGGCACGUUUCAACGGCUCACAGCAUUCGGGCUACAUCUGGGAUCGAUUCCCGCAUGCGGCACGGCUGAAGAACAGCUGCAGCAACAGUUCGCCCUGCGAUGCGUCGGCCGUUUUCCGUGCACUGUGGACGGGUGUGCCGCUGGCAGCUGCUCAGCGUGUGCGGAGCAACUGCAGCGCGGCGCCCGGCCAGCUGCUCAGCGUGCUGCGUCAGGCCCAGCUGGCGGGUCUGCGGACCGGCUUCGUGACCAAUCAACGUCUGACGGGCGCCACGGGCGCCGCUCUGUACGCGGAGGUGGCGCAAAGCAGCUGGGAAUGCGAUGGCCUGAUGCCGAUGGGUGCCAUUGAGUCCGGCUGCCAGGAUGUGGCCCAGCAGCUCAUCUCAGGUGCAACGGGCCAGGCGUUAAAUGUGCUGCUAGGCGGAGGCCGGCAGAUGUUCAAUUCCAAAGUGCCCACAUUUGCGUGGGAUCCGUCGGAUGAGCUGCUGUGCCACGCCAGAGCUGGACGCAAUUUGUUGCGCGAUUGGCGCAAUCAAAAACUGAAAAGCAAGCCCAUGCCUCGCUUUGAGCUGGUGCAGCAUGAGCAGGAGCUCAGCUCUAUCAAUGGCAGCAGCCUGGACUAUCUGCUGGGCGUGCUUGCCAAUGGGGAUUUGAGCGCCAACUCCCGUGCGCCCACGUUGCAAUUGAUGCUAAAUCGAACGCUGCAGGUGCUCAGGCGUCCGGGUGUGGGGCAUCUGUUAAUUGUGGAGCACCAUGUGCAGCCGCACAUGGUUGCCCGGGAGCAGCUGCAGCUGCUCAAUGCGACCCUGGCCCGUUUGAUGGGCCAAAAGGAUCUGCUGACAAUGGUGCUGCUCACAAAUGGCAAUUAUCUCAGCUCCAGUCGGGAUGUCAGCGGGGAAACGCAGCUGGUCAGCACUUUGGAGGAGUCUCUUCAAGGGCCCGAGCUGCAGUUGCAGCGCAGGCUGCAGCAGCUUCCAUCUGAGAGUCUGCUCUUCGCACAGGGACCCAAGUCCCUGCUCUUCUAUGGCGUACACGAUGAAACCUAUCUGGCUCAGGCUCUGUCAUAUGCCUUGGGCAUUGACGUUUUUGGCAGGCAGCUGUAGCAGCAGCUAAGAUAAACCCCACAAUCUGUUUACAUCCACAUCUGUUAGCUCAGCAAUUGUUUGUAGCAGUAGCAGGAGUAUGCAGAAGGAACCAUUUCCGAUCCCACAAAGGGCUUGAAAUAUUUAUCAGGACGAUGAGCUGCGUCGAUCUGGGCAUAUUCGCCUCGCAGACCGUCGGUCUGUCCGUUUGUGUCAACGUCGAUCGAGAACGAGCCUUACAUUUUUCAUCCGAUAU